rnacentral:rRNA from 1 species
AGAGUUUGAUCCUGGCUCAGAAUGAACGUUGGCGGCGUGGAUUAGGCAUGCAAGUCGUACGGGCCGCAAGGCCAGUGGCGCAAGGGUGAGUAAGGCGACGGUAACCAACCCCAUGACUGGGUAUAGCCGCGGGAAACUGCGGGUAAUCCCCAGCGAUGUCCGCGGGAGGCAUCUCCCGGGGACCAAAGCUCCGGCGUCGUGGGACGGGCUGUCGUGGUAUUAGCUGGUUGGCGGGGUAAUGGCCCACCAAGGCUCUGAUGCCUACCGGGCGUGCGAGCGUGGCCCGGCACACUGGGACUGAGACACUGCCCAGACUCCUACGGGAGGCUGCAGUCGAGAAUCUUCGGCAAUGGGCGCAAGCCUGACCGAGCGACGCCGCGUGGAGGACGAAGGCCUUCGGGUUGUAAACUCCUGUCGAGGGGGAAGAACGGGUAACACCUUGACUGAUCCCUGGAGGAAGCACGGGCUAAGUUCGUGCCAGCAGCCGCGGUAAGACGAACCGUGCGAACGUUAUUCGGAAUCACUGGGCUUAAAGCGCGUGUAGGCGGAUGGGAACGUCGGUCGUUGAAAUCCCCCGGCUUAACCGGGGAAGGGGCGCCGAUACGACCCGUCUGGAGGAACGUAGGGGGAGCUGGAACUUCCGGUGGAGCGGUGAAAUGCGUUGAGAUCGGAAGGAACGCCCGUGGCGAAAGCGAGCUCCUGGACGUUUUCUGACGCUGAGACGCGAAAGCCAGGGGAGCGAACGGGAUUAGAUACCCCCGUAGUCC